CAAGCUGCUGUGGGGACUUUUGUUCCCCUCCUCAAAAAGUCUGUGCCAUCUUCUCCCACCCCCUCCUGGGUAGAAGGCGGGGCUGACCCCAGGGCUGGGAGAGGGGAGGGGACCGCAGGGCAGAUGGGCUCCUCGGCCCCCAGGGGGCCGCCUGGGCUGCUAGUCUCCAGAAUAGGGACGCUGGGCAUUCUCCGUUCUGGGAGAGCCUUUGUCUGAAAGCACAGCCCCCCUCGCCAUCCCUCUCCCCACUGCUCCCCUUCAUUGGCAUUAAUCUGGGCACCAGCUAGUUCCAUAGCAGUGACUUCCCUCACCACUCAUCUCUCGGCCUUGCCUUUUCUUCCUCACACUGUCGCCCCUCCUCUCAGGAGACACUGCCCGGGGGCCCCCGUGGCCGGCCGCCUGGCGGGAGGCUGGACAGGGCAGCAGGGCCGGGAGCCUCUGCCCUCCACAGGGUGGGGGGCACAGAUAGGCCAAGUGACUCCCAGCUUGCUAACCUCUGCAGCCAGCGUGGGAGUGGCUGGUUAUGGGCGCUUGGCUGGUGGCAGCCGCCGCAUCCCUUAAUUUAUUUCUCUGCUGCUUCUGUUCUUGAGAAACUGGGGGGGGCGGGUCCUGAACAGAGGCUGCCUCUACCCUCACCUGAGUUGUACAUUUUUUGUGAUGGGUUUUAUUUUUUAUUUUAUUAUUUUAUUUUAUUUUUUUCUUUUGAUUUAUGAUGACUCCACUCCCACUCAUCACCCCACUCCCAGGCCUGGCUCCCUGGCAAGUCGAGCCCUUGGUUCCCAGGAAGGGGCCUCGCCAACCUCAGCCCUCCUGCCCCAAGCCCUGAAUGCGGGCUCCGGCUCCCACCAAGGGCUCCCCUCCCUUCUUCCCUCCCCCCUCCUGCCCUAUGGAACAGCCCGGGUGCUCCGAGGGGCCGGGAGGGCAAGGCUUGGCUCCCAAAGGGGGUGGUGGCCAGGGGCUGGGGGGGGGGGCCUCCCAGGCAAGGUGGCCCCUCCCCACCCAGCCCCCCCUUCCUGCACUUAGUUUCUCCUCUGGAUCAAACACGUAAUAAAGAGAAUGUUUGGAAUCUG
rnacentral:lncRNA from 1 species